AUUGAACGCUGGCGGAAUGCUUUACACAUGCAAGUCGAGCGGCAGCACGGGGGCAACCCUGGUGGCGAGCGGCGAACGGGUGAGUAAUACAUCGGAACAUGCCCAGUCGUGGGGGAUAACACUUCGAAAGAAGUGCUAAUACCGCAUACGUCCUGAGGGAGAAAGCGGGGGAUCUUCGGACCUCGCGCGAUUGGAGUGGCCGAUGUCAGAUUAGCUAGUUGGGGGGGUAAAGGCCUACCACGGCAACGAUCUGUAGCUGGUCUGAGAGGAUGAUCAGCCACACUGGGACUGGGACACGGCCCAGGCUCCUACGGGAGGCAGCAGUGGGGAAUGUUGGACAAUGGGGGCAACCCUGCUUCAGCCAUUCCGCGUGAGUGAAGAAGGCCUUCGGGUUGUAAAGCUCUUUCGGCAGGAACGAAACGGCGAGCUCUAACAUAGCUUGCUAAUGACGGUACCUGAAGAAGAAGCACCGGCUAACUACGUGCCAGCCGCCGCGGUAACAC
rnacentral:rRNA from 1 species